CUUACCAUGCAGUCGAACGGCAGCACGGGAGCAAUCCUGGUGGCGAGUGGCGAACGGGUGAGUAAUACAUCGGAACGUGUCCUGGAGUGGGGGAUAGCCCGGCGAAAGCCGGAUUAAUACCGCAUACGCUCUGAGGAGGAAAGGGGGGGAUCUUAGGACCUCUCGCUCAAGGGGCGGCCGAUGGCAGAUUAGCUAGUUGGUGGGGUAAAGGCCUACCAAGGCGACGAUCUGUAGCUGGUCUGAGAGGACGACCAGCCACACUGGGACUGAGACACGGCCCAGACUCCUACGGGAGGCAGCAGUGGGGAAUUUUGGACAAUGGGCGCAAGCCUGAUCCAGCAAUGCCGCGUGUGUGAAGAAGGCCUUCGGGUUGUAAAGCACUUUUGUCCGGAAAGAAAACACGCCUGUUAAUACCGGGUGUGGAUGACGGUACCGGAAGAAUAAGCACCGGCUAACUACGUGCCAGCAGCCGCGGUAAUACGUAGGGUGCAAGCGUUAAUCGGAAUUACUGGGCGUAAAGCGUGCGCAGGCGGUUCGUUAAGACAGAUGUGAAAUCCCCGGGCUUAACCUGGGAACUGCAUUUGUGACUGGCGGACUCGAGUAUGGCAGAGGGGGGUAGAAUUCCACGUGUAGCAGUGAAAUGCGUAGAGAUGUGGAGGAAUACCGAUGGCGAAGGCAGCCCCCUGGGCCAAUACUGACGCUCAUGCACGAAAGCGUGGGGAGCAAACAGGAUUAGAUACCCUGGUAGUCCACGCCCUAAACGAUGUCAACUGGUUGUCGGGUCUUCAUUGACUUGGUAACGAAGCUAACGCGUGAAGUUGACCGCCUGGGGAGUACGGUCGCAGAUAAAUAG
rnacentral:rRNA from 1 species